AGGGGUUACAAAAAAACUACCUCAGCCUGUCCUCAGUAUCCUGCCCCAUGGGGAGUGAACCCUUGGAUGGCAACACCUAUGCCCUACCCACCACCUUGGCAAUGUUGGGCACCAUGGGCAUCGUACCCCCGAGAACACAUGCGCUACGGCACUUCGACCAGGCGCAACACCGGUUUAGCACUGCCUCGUGACGGACCUGCCAGUGACAUAAGAUACCAGGCAGCACCAUCACACUCCCAGGAGCAACUGAGUCCUGCUCCUAUUCCAGCAGAGUCCGAUGUAACGCUUGAGGAAGCCUUACUUCCCCUUCCUCCAACCCCGUCGGAUGACUAUGCCAAAUUCCAAGACCUCUUUAAAAGAGCUGCAGGUGACUUGAAAAUUAACUUAGAGGAAGUCACUGAACAACGGCAUGAACUAACAGACAUUUUGCAGCCCUCUUCUUCCUCUAGAGUGGCAUUACCAAUCAACAGAGCCCUUUUAGAACCCGCUAAAUCCAUCUGGCAGAAUCCAGCCACUAGCCUACCUACCUGUAAACAAGCGGACAGGAAGUACUUCAUUCCUUCAAAGGGCUCUGAAUUCCUUUUUACCCAUCCAGCGCCAAACUCAUUGGUAGUGGACGCAGCAAACCAGAGGGCCAAACAACAGUACGCCCGCUCCACCCCAGCCAACAAGGACAGUAAACGCCUGGACCUCUUCGGCCGUAAAGUAUAUGCAUCCUCGACGCUACAAUUUCGCAUAGCUAAUUAUACCGCAGUCCUUGCAAAAUAUGACCACAAAAACUAUAAUAAAUUCAUGGAUUUUAUUGAUCAUAUUCCAGAACAGAAGAAACAACAAUUCACAGCUCUGGUUUCCGAGGGACAAACCAUAUCACGCACCGCUCUCCAAGCGGCCCUCGAUGUAGCUAACACUGCAGCAAGGUCGACCGCCACAGCAGUGGUCAUGCGACGAGGUUCAUGGCUCUCUUCCUCCUUCUUCCCUCGAGAGGUCCAGAGCACCAUUGAAGAUCUUCCCUUCGAUGGGGAAAAACUUUUUGCCUCCACCACAAACGACAUGCUGCAUUCGAAGAAGGACGCAAGAGCAACCCUCUGGUCCCUAGGCCUCCAGCCACCUGUGACCAGAAGACAACAAUAUAGAUAUCAACCUUAUCACCGACCACGCUACCCCACAUUUUCACAACACUCCUAUAGACCACAGGAAUAACAACAGCAACAACGACGCCAAAGACCAAGAUUCCAGCGUCAUCGUCCUAAUUCUACAGGGGCGCUGCAACCCCCUCCAACUAAUAGGCAGAUUUGAAGCAUUGGUCGAGGGUUUAGAAAACAGCGUUCCCACGUCAGCCGGCACACCUAUCUUUGGACACCGCCUACGACCAUUCUCUCAUCAAUGGCAGAAAAUUACAUCCGACAAAUGGGUCAUAGAGGUAGUUACAAUUGGAUACGCCAUCCCCUUCCUCUCCCUCCCUCCCACCCACCCACCCUCCCCAUCCCUCUUCAGGGACCCAUCUCACGAGCAACUACUCUUCCAAGAAGUGCAGCAUCUCCUU
rnacentral:lncRNA from 1 species